rnacentral:rRNA from 1 species
AUUGAACGCUGGCGGCAGGCCUAACACAUGCAAGUCGAACGAGUGGCGGACGGGUGAGUAAUGUCUGGGAAACUGCCUGAUGGAGGGGGAUAACUACUGGAAACGGUAGCUAAUACCGCAUACCAUCGGAUGUGCCCAGAUGGGAGUAGCUAGUGGGUGGGGUAAAGGCUCACCUAGGAUACGAUCCCUAGCUGGGCUGAGAGGAUGACAAGCCACACUGGAACUGAGAAACGGUCCAGAGUCCUACGGUAGGCAGCAGGGGGGAAUAUUGCACAAUGGGCGCAAGCCUGAUGCAGCCAUGCCGCGUGUAUGAAGAAGGCCUUCGGGUUGUAAAGUACUUUCAGCGGGGAGGCGUUACCCGCAGAAGAAGCACCGGCUAACUCCGUGCCAGCAGCCGCGGUAAUAC